rnacentral:rRNA from 1 species
UCAUACGGAGGAUCCAAGCGUUAUCCGGAAUUACUGGGCGUAAAGAGUUGCGUAGGUGGCAUAGUAAGCGAGUAGUGAAAGCGUGUGGCUCAACCAUACUCACAUUAUUCGAACUGCUAAGCUAGAGGAUGAGAGAGGUUAUUGGAAUUCCCAGUGUAGGAGUGAAAUCCGCAGAUAUUGGGAGGAACACCGAUGGCGUAGGCAGAUAACUGGCUCAUUCCUGACACUAAGGCACGAAAGCGUGGGGAGCAAACGGGAU